AUACGGAGGGUGCGAGCGUUAAUCGGAAUUACUGGGCGUAAAGCGUACGUAGGCGGUUGGUUAAGUUAGAUGUGAAAGCCCCGGGCUUAACCUGGGAACUGCAUUUAAAACUGACGAACUAGAGUUGAGUAGAGGGGGGUGGAAUUUCAGGUGUAGCGGUGAAAUGCGUAGAUAUCGGAAGGAACACCAGUGGCGAAGGCGACUCUCUGGACUGAUACUGACACUGAGGCACGAAAGCGUGGGGAGCAAACAGGAUUAGAAACCCCAGUAGUCC
rnacentral:rRNA from 1 species